GGACAUAAGGAGGCCAGCCACUCCACCAUCAACAAACCUGGAUGAACGCAUGGAAGUUGGGGGGCGACAGCAUCCCAGUUCACCAAAACACUCAAUGCCUGGCUCUAUAAGAGAAAGCUCUUCCCCCUGCUGUAGCCUUCACUAUUCGAGGUACCAUCAAAUAGCCUGCACCUUUUGAUGUAAGUGGACGUGGCGGAUCCUAAAAGACCAAAAGUUUGCUCAGAUGCGGCCGUUUUUAUCACGACGGAUGUCGAAAAGGAAAAGAAACACAAUAACACACCCACUUGAACCUCAUCAUGUGCUUGAGCUGAACUGUUUGGCGUGUUAGAGCGAGAAAACUCUCUCAGUGUGCACAAAUGAAAGGACUGGGGUGGAGACAGAACUGUGCUUUUUCCACUGGACUCGGUACCUGACCUGGACCAGCACCAAGAGGAAGCAGUAAUGCAACGUUCCAUGCGACGUCCAGGAGAUGGAGAUGUCGAGCAGCAGCUACACGGGAAUGUGGCUUUCGUUAGAACAGCGUCCACAUCUGUUCAACACCUGGUUUAAGCUCAAGCAGGUGAAAAAGAAGAGAAUGGGAUGAGUGAAGACAAAAGGGGGGGGGGCAGAAAAGACAGACAGAAGACACAAGGAAAGAGAAACGAUGACAGAAGAGAUAACGCGAGACAAAAGGAGCAAGAAGAUAAACAAGUCGCAAAGAAGAAAAGAGAAUAGAAGAAGAGAACGAGUAGAGAGCAAAGAGAUAAUACUGAAUAUAAGAGAAACGAAGAGACAUGGACAGAAGAGAGGUUAAAAAAAGGGAAAGAAAGGAAAAGACAGAGCAGAGAAAAGAAGUAGAAGAGAAAAAGAAAAGAGAGAAGAGAAUGGAAGAUAAACGAGGAGGAGAAAAAAGAAAAUAAAAGAAGAGAACUGGGGGAAAGAGAAAACAAACGAACGUAGGGGGGGAACGUAAUACUGAACAGAAGAGAAAGGAAGAAGUGAGAGACAUGAAAAGGCAAAGAAGAGAGAAGUAAAGAGAGAUAAAAAAAGAAAUGUAGAAAAGAGAAGUGAAGAAGAGAAGGACACUUGGCACUGAGUGGGCAGGAACUGGGCGGUGCCUCUAGUGUGCACUCCGGGGGGUCGUGUCUCGUUUGGAGAGAAAGAAUCUCUCCAUAUCUGACGCUAACUCAUCCUGAGUCACCCCUCUUUAUUAUUGCCCCCCCUUCCAUGGCAGAUGGUGCGGUCCGCUCCCCCGAGCCCCGCCUCGAUCCCAAAACCAUUGUGCCCCAGCAUUAGAGGGAAACAAGUACCCCUCCUUUACUCCCUCUCACUCACUCACUCUCUCUUUUUUUUAACUACUGUAUUGUCCAGUAUCAUGUGCUAUUCUCUCUCUCUCUCUCUCAUCUCCACAGACAUGUUGUACUUGAGUAGUGGAUGAGUUUCAUGACAUGUAACUCGACCGGGACCCGAUUAUCUAA